ACUCCUACGGGAGGCAGCAGUGGGGAAUCUUGGACAAUGGGCGCAAGCCUGAUCCAGCCAUGCCGCGUGAGUGAUGAAGGCCCUAGGGUCGUAAAGCUCUUUCGCCAGGGAUGAUAAUGACAGUACCUGGUAAAGAAACCCCGGCUAACUCCGUGCCAGCAGCCGCGGUAAUACGGAGGGGUUAGCGUUGUUCGGAAUUACUGGGGCGUAAAGCGCGCGUAGGCGGACUGGAAAGUUGGGGGUGAAAUCCCGGGGCUCAACCCCGGAACUGCCUCCAAAACUCCCAGUCUUGAGUUCGAGAGAGGUGAGUGGAAUUCCGAGUGUAGAGGUGAAAUUCGUAGAUAUUCGGAGGAACACCAGUGGCGAAGGCGGCUCACUGGCUCGAUACUGACGCUGAGGUGCGAAAGUGUGGGGAGCAAACAGGAUUAGAUACCCUGGUAGGAAAGCG
rnacentral:rRNA from 1 species